rnacentral:misc_RNA from 1 species
UUAAGUUCAGCGGGUAUCCCCGCCUGAUCCGAGGCCAAACUUGGUAAGAGGUUUAGGGGCGGCCCCCCGACGGACACGCGAGCGAGUGACUUGCUACGCUAGCGGCCGGCGGUAGGCGCCCAGACGUUUGGGGCGUGCCUAGGCAUCGCCCAACAUCAAGCAGAGCUUGGGGGGGUGUAAUGGCGCUCGGACAGGCGUGC